rnacentral:rRNA from 1 species
AUUGAACGCUGGCGGCAGGCUUAACACAUGCAAGUCGAGCGGGGUGAUGGUGCUUGCACUAUCACUUAGCGGCGGACGGGUGAGUAAUGCUUAGGAAUCUGCCUAUUAGUGGGGGACAACAUCUCGACAGGGAUGCUAAUACCGCAUACGUCCUACGGGAGAAAGCAGGGGAUCACUUGUGACCUUGCGCUAAUAGAUGAGCCUAAGUCGGAUUAGCUAGUUGGUGGGGUAAAGGCCUACCAAGGCGACGAUCUGUAGCGGGUCUGAGAGGAUGAUCAGCCACACUGGGACUGAGACACGGCCCAGACUCCUACGGGAGGCAGCAGUGGGGAAUAUUGGACAAUGGGGGGAACCCUGAUCCAGCCAUGCCGCGUGUGUGAAGAAGGCCUUAUGGUUGUAAAGCACUUUAAGCGAGGAGGAGGCUCUUUUGGUUAAUACCCAAGAUGAGUGGACGUUACUCGCAGAAUAAGCACCGGCUAACUCUGUGCCAGCCGCCGCAGUAA